UAGGGAAUCUUCCGCAAUGGACGCAAGUCUGACGGAGCAACGCCGCGUGAGUGAAGAAGGAUUUCGGUUCGUAAAACUCUGUUGUUAGAGAAGAACAGCGCAUAGAGUAACUGUUAUGCGUGUGACGGUAUCUAACCAGAAAGCCACGGCUAACUACGUGCCAGCAGCCGCGGUAAUACGUAGGUGGCAAGCGUUGUCCGGAUUUAUUGGGCGUAAAGCGAGCGCAGGCGGUCAAUUAAGUCUGAUGUGAAAGCCCCCGGCUCAACCGGGGAGGGUCAUUGGAAACUGGUUGACUUGAGUGCAGAAGAGGAGAGUGGAAUUCCAUGUGUAGCGGUGAAAUGCGUAGAUAUAUGGAGCAACACCAGUGGCGAAGGCGACUCUCUGGUCUGUAACUGACGCUGAGGCUCGAAAGCGUGGGUAGCAAACAGG
rnacentral:rRNA from 1 species